AGGUUGGCUUAGAAGCAGCCAUCCUUUAAAGAAAGCGUAACAGCUCACUGGUCUAGACAAGCCGGCCUGCGCCGAAGAUGUAACGGGGCUAAAGCCACAUACCGAAGCUGAGGACGUGAUUUAUCACGUGGUAGCAGAGCGUUCUGUAAGCCUGUGAAGCCUAACCGUGAGGUUGGGUGGAGGUAUCAGAAGUGAGAAUGCUGACAUGAGUAGCGAUAAAGAGUGUGAGAAACACUCUCGCCGUAAGCCCAAGGGUUCCUGCGCAAGGCUAAUCCGCGCAGGGUGAGUCGGCCCCUAAGACGAGGGCGAAAGCCGUAGUCGAUGGGAAUCAGGUUAAUAUUCCUGAACCCGAUGGUAGUGACGGAUGACGUAAGUUGUACAUGCUUAUCGGAUUGUGUGUGCAGCGAAGUUGUUCCAGGAAAUAGCUCCAUCAUUAGGACCGUACCCCAAACCGACACAGGUGGGCAGGUAGAGCAUACCGAGGCGCUUGAGAGAACGAUGUUGAAGGAACUCGGCAAAUUGCCCCCGUAACUUCGGGAGAAGGGGGACCUCCAUUAAGGCAACUUUUUGGGGGUGGCACAGACCAGGGGGUGGCGACUGUUUAUUAAAAACACAGGGCUCUGCGAAGUAGUUAAUACGACGUAUAGGGUCUGACGCCUGCCCGGUGCCGGAAGGUUAAAAGGAGGGGUGAGAGCUCCGAAUUGAAGCCCCGGUAAACGGCGGCCGUAACUAUAACGGUCCUAAGGUAGCGAAAUUCCUUGUCGGGUAAGUUCCGACCUGCACGAAUGGCGUAACGACUUCCCCGCUGUCUCCAACAUCGACUCAGCGAAAUUGAAUUCCCCGUGAAGAUGCGGGGUACCCGCGGUCAGACGGAAAGACCCCGUGCACCUUUACUACAACUUUACAGUGGCAUCAGAGUGAAGAUGUGCAGGAUAGGUGGGAGCCUUUGAAGCGAUAGCGCCAGUUAUCGUGGAGGCGUCCUUGAGAUACCACCCUUCUGCAUUCUGUUGUCUAACCGCGGCCAGUGAAGCCUGGUCCGGGACCCUGUAUGGUGGGUAGUUUGACUGGGGCGGUCGCCUCCCAAAGAGUAACGGAGGCGCGC
rnacentral:rRNA from 1 species